GACGAACCGUCCAAACGUUAUUCGGAAUCACUGGGCUUACAGAGUUCGUAGGCGGUCCCAAAAGUUAGGUGUGAAAUCCCUCGGCUCAACCGAGGAACUGCGCUUAAAACUGUGGGACUCGAGGGAGAUAGAGGAAAGCGGAACUGAUGGUGGAGCGGUGAAAUGCGUUGAUAUCAUCAGGAACACCGGUGGCGAAGGCGGCUUCUGGGUCGUUUACCU
rnacentral:rRNA from 1 species